GCCUGGCUGGCUCAGUUGGUAGAGCGUGGGAUUCUUGAUCUCAGAGUCAUGAGUUCAAGCCCCAUGUUGGGGG
rnacentral:tRNA from 1 species